rnacentral:rRNA from 1 species
UAGGGAAUCUUCGGCAAUGGACGGAAGUCUGACCGAGCAACGCCGCGUGAGUGAAGAAGGUUUUCGGAUCGUAAAGCUCUGUUGUAAGAGAAGAACGAGUGUGAGAGUGGAAAGUUCACACUGUGACGGUAUCUUACCAGAAAGGGACGGCUAACUACGUGCCAGCAGCCGCGGUAAUACGUAGGUCCCAAGCGUUGUCCGGAUUUAUUGGGCGUAAAGCGAGCGCAGGCGGUUAGAUAAGUCUGAAGUUAAAGGCUGUGGCUUAACCAUAGUACGCUUUGGAAACUGUUUAACUUGAGUGCAAGAGGGGAGAGUGGAAUUCCAUGUGUAGCGGUGAAAUGCGUAGAUAUAUGGAGGAACACCGGUGGCGAAAGCGGCUCUCUGGCUUGUAACUGACGCUGAGGCUCGAAAGCGUGGGGAGCAAACAGGAUUAGAUACCCUGGUAGUCCACGCCGUAAACGAUGAGUGCUAGGUGUUAGACCCUUUCCGGGGUUUAGUGCCGUAGCUAACGCAUUAAGCACUCCGCCUGGGGAGUACGACCGCAAGGUU